CAGUAGCCACGGGAAUACGUAGGUGGCAAGCGUUGUCCGGAAUUAUUGGGCGUAAAGGGCUCGCAGGCGGUUUCUUAAGUCUGAUGUGAAAGCCCCCGGCUCAACCGGGGAGGGUCAUUGGAAACUGGGAAACUUGAGUGCAGAAGAGGAGAGUGGAAUUCCACGUGUAGCGGUGAAAUGCGUAGAGAUGUGGAGGAACACCAGUGGUGAAGGCGACUCUCUGGUCUGUAACUGACGCUGAGGAGCGAAAGCGUGGGGAGCGAACAGGAUUAGAUACCCCAGUAGUCCCUGUCUCUUAUAA
rnacentral:rRNA from 1 species